rnacentral:tRNA from 1 species
AAACAAUAGCAUUUAAAAAUGCGUAUCGGUUUCGACCCGAUAAGAGCGGAUACACGCAUUGUUUU